rnacentral:rRNA from 1 species
UACGAAGGGGACUAGCGUUGUUCGGAAUCACUGGGCGUAAAGCGCACGUAGGCGGAUAUGUCAGUCAGGGGUGAAAUCCCGGGGCUUAACCUCGGAACUGCCUUUGAUACAGCAUAUCUUGAGUCCGAUAGAGGUGGGUGGAAUUCCUAGUGUAGAGGUGAAAUUCGUAGAUAUUAGGAAGAACACCGGUGGCGAAGGCGGCCCACUGGAUCGGGUACCUGACGCUGAGGUGCGAAAGCGUGGGUAGCGAACAGGA